rnacentral:rRNA from 1 species
GAUGAACGCUGGCGGCAGGCUUAACACAUGCAAGUCGAGCGCCCCGCAAGGGGAGCGGCAGACGGGUGAGUAACGCGUGGGAAUCUACCCAUCUCUACGGAAUAACGCAUGGAAACGUGUGCUAAUACCGUAUACGUCCUUCGGGAGAAAGAUUUAUCGGAGAUGGAUGAGCCCGCGUUGGAUUAGCUAGUUGGUGGGGUAAAGGCCUACCAAGGCGACGAUCCAUAGCUGGUCUGAGAGGAUGAUCAGCCACACUGGGACUGAGACACGGCCCAGACUCCUACGGGAGGCAGCAGUGGGGAAUAUUGGACAAUGGGCGCAAGCCUGAUCCAGCCAUGCCGCGUGAGUGAUGAAGGCCCUAGGGUUGUAAAGCUCUUUCACCGGUGAAGAUAAUGACGGUAACCGGAGAAGAAGCCCCGGCUAACUUCGUGCCAGCCGCCGCCGUAA